UUUUCCAAACUAUGCCUUAACCCUUCGGGUGCGUUUGGCUCGCAUUAUCUUUUAAAGAUUCCUAGUAAUUCAAUAGGAAUAAAAAAAUAUGACGGUAUUUGGCUAAACGUACUAAGUAAUCCAGUUAGUAAUAUUGGAUUCAUUUGGGAAUAAGAUUCACCCCAAAGUACUAAUCUCAUUCCCUUGAGGGAGGUUGGGUAUCAUCAUAUUAAUGGAUUGUAAUCAUAAUAUAUCUAAUCUCUUUCUUUCUCUCUAUCCGCCGGCUUAUUGAUAUUAUUUUUCGUUACACUCUAAUCUUAUAUCUAUCUCUUAAUUUAUCUCUCUCUAAAAUUCAACUUUUUUUUCUCUCUCUAAACUAAGCUUUCUCUCUCUCUCUUUUUAAAAUCUCAACUCUCUCACUCCUUCUAAUUUCGACUCUAUUUCUCUUUUUAUUUUUUUAAUUAUGCUCUUUCUCUCUCUCUAACUUAUACUUUCUUUCCUUUUUUUCUAAAAAGAUGUUGAAAUUUUUGGUAAUAUUAUCUAAAAUUAAUUAAAUAAAUAAAUAAAUUAAUUGUAUAUUUUUUGCAAUAUUAAAUAACAUGGCUAAAUAAUAUUACCGUGCGAACCAAACGCAGGAAUUCCACAUUCUUAGUAAUAGGAUGAAUAAGAAUAAAAUUCUCGGAUAUCUUUUCAUUCAUAGUAAUCUUUUAAUAAUGCGAACCAAACGCACACUUCAAGUCAAGUUAUCGGAGCUCCAAGAAGUUUUAUGGUGAUAUGAAAAGUAACUCCGUAGCAAAUAUUAGGCCGAACCCGACCUGAGCCGAUCGAGAUCUGUUUUUAACUCGGGUUCAGCUUGUUGGCUAUUUAUUAUUGAACUAAAUUAGGUCCAACUUUUUGUCUUAUAACAAUAGGUCCAGAAGACUAAUAAAUUGAAUUGGAUGAGUCUAAUAAGUUAAAUAGGACUACGGUCUAUAAGAGAACUAACGGCAAGAGGCUUAAUAAUACGCCUAACGUUUAGAUGGGUUAAGUCAGAUCGAAAUCCGUAAGCGCUGUGGUUGAGCUUUUAAGUGCGAUGGGUGCGUCUUCUCAUCAGCAUGUAUUUUGAAAUAGUUGGUUAGAACUUACGAUCCACAUAGCUAUGACUGGAUAUUAGAUAAGAUUUGCCAUGUGGGUUUAUA
rnacentral:lncRNA from 1 species